rnacentral:piRNA from 1 species
AGUAAGUUGUGUAGAAACACAGG